rnacentral:piRNA from 2 species
UCACAGUGCCUGGGUUUGGUUCUAGCCCUC